CAUAUGAGUAUUUAUGAGGGAUUUACCUUUGCUCUGUUGGGACGGCCAUCUUAACCCCUUAAGGACCAAACUUCUGGAAUAAAAGGGAAUCAUGACAUGUCACACCUGGCAUGUGUCCUUCAGGGGUUUAAAGCUCUUUGGUCAAAGACACCACUUAUCAGGCCUCAAAUCCUGACCUUGUAGUUAAGUGCAGGACAUCUCAAAAGCUUGUUCUGAGCCUUUUAAGCUACUUACAUU